rnacentral:lncRNA from 13 species
UCCUUGCUGUUCUCGUGAUAGUGAGUGAGUUCUCACGGGAUCUGGUUGUUUGAAAGUGGGUAGUACUUCCCCCUUUGCUCUUUCUCUCUCCUGCUCCAGUAUGUGAAGAUAUGCUUGCUUCCUCUUCACCUUCUGCCAUGAUUGAAGUUUUCUGAGGCCUCCCAGCCAUGCCUCCUGUACAGCCUGCAAAACUUGUCAUAAUGACAUAGAGUGAAGGUGGUGGUCCUCAUGGCCGUGAGGCCCCCCUCCCUUCUGGAGACUCCAGGGCUCAUCUGAAGUCACUUGCUGGUCUUCCUUGGCUGCCAAGUCACCUCCCCCUCAGACCACAGGCUUGGAUAUGACUCGUUCCUCACCUCUCUGUACCUGCUUCAUCAGUAUUCAUCUUUCAAGCUCCAUCUCAAAUUCUGCCCCCUGAUGACUAUGAUAAACAGGUUCUCUGCUGUCCAUUAAUAACCAUAAUGGAGGAGUGGGGACUUACCAUGUAGCGGGUCCAUACAUCACUCUUGCUUUUGUUUGUUUGUUUUUUGAGAUGG